rnacentral:rRNA from 1 species
UCUGAGUCUGCAACCGAUCAUGAUGCUCAAUAACGUAUGAACACGCGUCGUUUGGUGGUUCCCUUUGCAGCGAGUCAGGAAGUAGGUGUGAGCCUGACAAGUACCGCUGAACGAUAUCAGUUCACAGUUGUCCUGCCGAAGUUGGUAAGCGGGACCGGUUGAUCACCGUUAGUCAAUCACUGAGGGGGACUUGUUCCCUGAAGUUAGGUGGUACCACGUUUGCUCGUCCUAAUAUUAGGGCGGGCUUUUUUGAUUUCAAUUAAUAAAGGAGCGGGUCACGUGAAAAUUAAAGAUACCUUGAACAUGGGUAAAACCAGUUUCCCAAUGCGCGCUGGUUUACCGAAGAAUGAACCGAUUUGGCAGAAAAAGUGGGAUGAGGACCACGUCUAUGAGCAACGCCAAAAAUUAAAUGAAGGCAAGCCAACGUUUAUGCUACAUGAUGGCCCGCCAUUUGCGAAUGGCAAUAUUCAUAUGGGUCACGCCUUGAAUAAGAUCAGUAAAGAUAUUAUUGUUCGCUACAAAUCCAUGAAUGGCUUCCGGGCGCCUUACGUUCCUGGUUGGGAUACUCACGGGUUGCCGAUUGAACAGCAACUAGCGAAACAAGGUGUGAAGCGCAAGGAAAUGUCGAUGACCGAUUAUCGUGAACUUUGUCGGCAGUUUGCCAUGCAGGAAAUCGAUAAACAGCGCACUGACUUUAAACGCCUAGGCGUGAUGGGUGACUGGGAACAUCCUUACAUUACGCUGCAGCAUCAUUAUGAAGCCAGUGAAAUUCGGGUUUUUGGUGCCAUGGCGAAAAAGGGCUACAUCUAUCAUGGCUUGAAGCCGGUUUACUGGUCAUGGUCAUCUGAAUCGACUCUGGCCGAAGCCGAGAUUGAAUAUCACGAUGAUAAAUCACCAUCCAUUUACGUCGCCUUUAAAGUGGUGGAUGGCAAGGGCUUACUUGACACUGAUACCUAUCUGGUCAUCUGGACCACCACACCUUGGACCAUUCCGGCUAACUAUGGGAUUACGGUUAAUCCGCGGUUCGAUUACGUUCAGGUUCAAGUUGGCGACAAAAAGUACGUGGUUGCUGCCGAAUUACUUGAUCGCGUAGCUGAAGAAAUUGGCUGGGAAAAUCCGAAGAUCCUGAAAACCUUUAAGGGCACGGAUAUGGAUAAAAUGACUGCUCAGCAUCCUUUAUAUGAUCGCACGAGUCUUGUCAUGAAUGCUGAUCAUGUCACGUUGGAUGCUGGGACUGGACUUGUCCAUACAGCGCCUGGUCAUGGGGAAGAUGACUACAAAGUCGGGGUUAAAUACGGCUUGCCUGUCGUCUCAGUAGUUGAUGCCAAAGGUUACAUGAAUGAAUAUGCGCCUGGUUUUGAAGGUGUCUUUUAUGAUGAUGCCAACAAGCAGAUCACCCAAGCACUGGCUGAUAAAGGCGCCCUGCUGAAGCUUGAUUUCUUCACCCAUAGCUAUCCGCAUGACUGGCGGACAAAGAAGCCGGUUAUUUUCCGGGCAACGACACAAUGGUUUGCGUCAAUUGAUGCUUUCCGUGAUCAGAUUCUAAAGGCUAUUGAUACGGUUGACUU